AGCGAACGCUGGCGGCAGGCCUAACACAUGCAAGUCGAACGAGCCUUCGGGCUAGUGGCGGACGGGUGAGUAACACGUGGGAACGUACCUUUAGGUUAGGAAUAACUCAGGGAAACUUGAGCUAAUACCGGAUGUGCCCUUCGGGGGAAAGAUUUAUCGCCUUUAGAGCGGCCCGCGUUAGAUUAGCUAGUUGGUGGGGUAAUGGCCCACCAAGGCUACGAUCUAUAGCUGGUCUGAGAGAAUGAUCAGCCACACUGGGACUGAGACACGGCCCAGACUCCUACGGGAGGCAGCAGUGGGGAAUCUUGCGCAAUGGGCGAAAGCCUGACGCAGCCAUGCCGCGUGAAUGAUGAAGGUCUUAGGAUUGUAAAAUUCUUUUAGCAGGGACGAUAAUGACGGUACCUGCAGAAAAAGCCCCGGCUAACUUCGUGCCAGCCGCCGCCGUAA
rnacentral:rRNA from 1 species